rnacentral:rRNA from 1 species
GGGGAGCAAUCCCUGAGUAGAGUGGCAAACGGGUGAGUAACACGUGGGUGACCUGCCUCAGAGUGGGGGAUAACGUCCCGAAAGGGACGCUAAUACCGCAUAACAUCCUGCCUUUGGAAAGGCGGAGAUCAAAGCCGGGGAUCGCAAGACCUGGCGCUUGGAGAGGGGCCCGCGUCUGAUUAGCUAGUUGGUAGGGUAAUGGCCUACCAAGGCGACGAUCAGUAUCCGGCCUGAGAGGGCGGACGGACACACUGGGACUGAGACACGGCCCAGACUCCUACGGGAGGCAGCAGUGGGGAAUUGUUCGCAAUGGGCGCAAGCCUGACGACGCAACGCCGCGUGGAGGAUGAAGAUCUUCGGGUCGUAAACUCCUGUCGAGCGGGAAGAACACUUUCCGGGUGAACAAUCCGGAAGGCUGACGGUACCGCUAAAGGAAGCCCCGGCUAACUCCGUGCCAGCAGCCGCGGUAAUACGGGGGGGGCAAGCGUUGUUCGGAAUUACUGGGCGUAAAGGGCUCGUAGGCGGCCAACUAAGUCGGACGUGAAAUCCCCAGGCUCAACCUGGGAACUGCGUCCGAUACUGGAUGGCUUGAAUCCGGGAGAGGGAUGCAGAAUUCCAGGUGUAGCGGUGAAAUGCGUAGAUAUCUGGAGGAAUACCGGUGGCGAAGGCGGCAUCCUGGACCGGCAUUGACGCUGAGGAGCGAAAGCCAGGGGAGCAAACGGGAUUAGAUACCCCGGUAGUCCUGGCCCUAAACGAUGAAUGCUUGGUGUAACGGGUAUCGAUCCCUGUUGUGCCGAAG